rnacentral:rRNA from 1 species
UACGUAGGGUGCGAGCGUUGUCCGGAAUUAUUGGGCGUAAAGAGCUUGUAGGCGGUUUGUCGCGUCUGCUGUGAAAAUCCGGGGCUCAACCCCGGACUUGCAGUGGGUACGGGCAGACUAGAGUUCGGUAGGGGAGACUGGAAUUCCUGGUGUAGCGGUGAAAUGCGCAGAUAUCAGGAGGAACACCGGUGGCGAAGGCGGGUCUCUGGGCCGAUACUGACGCUGAGGUGCGAAAGCGUGGGGAGCAAACAGG